CUCAGCUCAUGCUUCCUCCUUCUAAUGCAUGGCUUGCCUUGUCCCCAUAAUUCUUAAGAGCUGCUUAAUUCAGCUGGUUCCUUUGCUUGGAGAUGCUAGAGUCUGCUAUAGCUCAUAUCUAACCUAGAAAGGGCUAGGGAGUCACUCAGCAGAGCAGUCUUUGCCUUAGGGAAAAUUUGUGUAUGUUUGUGAGCACUGUGGAGCCACAAAUGAGACAUGGCUUGGCACUGGGGAACAGAGGUUUUUAAGUGAGCAAAUGUGGGAUUGAGAUGGGAAAGGAAGCUGCAGCACAGGGCACUUCUGUAGCCUCUGAGUCAGCAUCAUCUCCUCUGUCAUUUCUCAGGUGACCCACCCCACUCCUGUGGCAGAAGACACAACAGGAAGAACAAAGAGACCCAAUGAGCAAUUGAGCAGCCUGUGACCAGACAGCGUGGCCUGCAGAGGUACAGGAUUAGAAACACCUCCUUAGCCUUACAAUCUCUGCAAGACUGUUUUGCUGUUAGAGAGGAAGUGUCCUGGUCCUUCCCUAGAGGCUGCCCAGAAAACUGCCCUUCAUUGGCACAGGAACUGAAUAAGAACCCUGGCAUCCAGAAGGAAGGCUGGUAAUGUGGCUUAGUCUUGGGUGCUUUGCAAUCUUUGCUUUUGGAAAAUAGAGGCUAAAUGUCUACUCUGAAAGCUUUCAACCAGAUCGAGAUGCUCCCACCAUCUGAAAACAGAACCUUGGCCAGCUGGCUUCCCUGAUCUUCCGUGUCCACCCCACUGAUUAUUCCUGCUCUGAGGCUAUGGGCAUUAACAAGGAUAUGGAGAGAGUGGUUUGUACAUGUUUCUUUACAUUUGGAAGCUUCUUGUGUUUCUUGUGUUUUCUCCCCAUGGCUCUUGCUUCCAGAAAAUUGGGAAGAACUUUUGGAUGUAUGUCUGGAAUUCAAAUACAACACUCAAAGCCCCCAGUUUAUCAGUGAGAUAUCUUACAUUUACAUUACUUGUAUCUCUACUUAAAACUUGGUUAGCUGAUGUAUAGUUUUCAUUCAGACAAUAGUGUUGUGUAUUAAUCUUAAGAGGCUGAUGAGUAAGUCAGGGGUGACAGUGGUUAUUUGAACUCUAAAAACAUUCUGCUCUAGUUGUUUUAAGGCUUAGAUUUGGGGAGGAUCAGAGUCUUAUUUUCCAAAAUGAAGUUGUGAUAGUUUAUAAAUAAUUAAAAAUUAAAAAGAGAGAAGAUUGAAGUUGUUUUGAGAAUGUAAAUUGACUUAAAAUUUAUAGGCAGUCCUUCUAUAUAUUUAUUUUGGUAACCAUACAUUUUGUUGCUUUUAACUUUGGUCAGAGAAGCUUCUUUUUGCAGUGGGCAGUUUGUUCAAACUCAUAAUGGGGCAAAGAGCUGAGAAGAACUGAUUAUUGAGUGCUUGGCCCUAGAUGGGUGUUCUGUAUCUACCACCAUGGUGCCCAGAAAGUGUUGCAGAAAAUGGAUCAGGGGAUAUAUAAAGUCUGAGGAUGGGGAGGAGUGUGUCAAAUUCUAUGAAAUUCCAUUGGAUUAAAAAAAUCCCAGCAGCAAGAGCUACUUCCAUAAGGUCUGUACAAGACCAAGCCAACAGAAACUUCAUUGCCUCAGCCUGCAAGAGGGUUCAAUGGAGACCUGGGAGGGGGCAAAAGAGUUGGGGUCAGAAGGAACAAAGAAGGAGAACAAGUCUAUUGUCUGACCAAGCUCUUAAACUUUAUUUCAGUACAGUGGCUUAUAAAGACAAGCAAGCAGGAAGGCCACACAGGGCCCAAGACCGAUUUCACUACUGUCACCACCCUCGCAUUGUUCUUUCAGUUCCUGUAACCCUAAACUGAAAAUUGUGGGUAUGCUGAUAAGAAUGGAUAACUGACUAGGUUUCUCAGAGGGUAUAAAUGGGCUUGGUAUUCCUGAAACACUCCUGAGACAGAGGGUGUGUAGGCAUGCUUGGUUCCCGGCCUUCCAUUAUGGACAUGGUGUGUAUUUUUACUGCAAUCUGGAACUCAGUAGCCAGAAGAAUCAGGAUUCCAAGUUAAUCUUUGGCUACAUAGGGAGAUCAAGGGCAGCAUAGGCUGUAUGAGACUCUGUCUCAAGACAGGCAAGGCAAAAGAAACUAAGAAAUAUUAGUAUACUGUAGCUGUCUCCAAACACAUCAGAUGGUUGUUAACCACCUCACUGUGGGUCCU
rnacentral:sRNA from 1 species